UGGGGAAUCAUGGUCAAUGGGCGAAAGCCUGAACCUGCGACGCCGCGUGAGUGAUGAAGGUCGUAAGAUCGUAAAACUCUUUUCAGGGAUCUUAAAGCCUGUCUGUCAACAACAGGCAGGUCUGACUCUCCCUGGAAGAAGCCCCAGCCAACUACGUGCCAGCAGCUGCGGUAAUACGUAGGGGGCUAGCGUUAUCCAGAUUUAUUGGGCGUAAAGCGCGUGCAAGCGGUCUAUCGAGUUGGAUGUGAAAGCUCCUGGCUUAACUGGGAGAGGUCGUUCAAAACUGAUAGUCUCGAGAAUGGUAGAGGGAGGUGGAAUUCCGGGUGUAGUGGUGAAAUGCGUAGAUAUCCGGAGGAACACCAGUGGCGAAAGCGGCCUCCUGGGCCAUUUCUGACGCUCAGACACGAAAGCUAAGGUAGCAAACG
rnacentral:rRNA from 1 species